rnacentral:rRNA from 1 species
UACGAAGGGGGCUAGCGUUGCUCGGAAUCACUGGGCGUAAAGGGUGCGUAGGCGGGUCUUUAAGUCAGAGGUGAAAUCCUGGAGCUCAACUCCAGAACUGCCUUUGAUACUGAGGAUCUUGAGUUCGGGAGAGGUGAGUGGAACUGCGAGUGUAGAGGUGAAAUUCGUAGAUAUUAGGAAGAACACCAGUGGCGAAGGCGGCUCACUGGCCCGGUACUGACGCUGAGGCGCGAAAGCGUGGGGAGCAAACAGGG